UGUGUUGCCCCCACCAAAUGUUUGUAUUCCUCAGCCAAUCCAAUCAUUGUGCUAACCUCAACCUGUAGAAUAAAUAAAACAAAUCUUUGUAAACCUCAUAUAUAUUAAUUUAUAUAGUCCUUAUAAAACUAUAUUUACAAUCUUUUAUAAACACACGUCACAUUUACAAUCUCUACAAGACACAGAUUUGUGGACCUUUUCAAGGAGUCCCUAGAAAUCCACUUUUCAAACAAUACAAUACAAAUAUAUUUAUACACGCUUAUAAAAACUCACAUUGUUUAUCUUCUCUAGCUCUAACACUUCAGUUAUUGUCGGAGUUCUUGUUGAGUCCCACUGUAGACACAACGGAUCUGAAGAAGAGGAUGUCUCGCAUGGUUUUCCCAAAGAUUUACCAAGCACAUUCACUGAUGACAUAGCCCACAAAUUUAUGGCUAGCGCAAAACCACUCACUUCAUAACUAUCUCCUCUCCAGGAAC
rnacentral:lncRNA from 1 species